AAAUGUGCACAGAUUGUUAAGGUUUGUUAAUGGCCAGUUCAAGCCCUAUUCUUCAAAGUCUCAAGAGAAUCUAGGGUUUCCUCCCCUUUCUAUUUUCCCCCUUUUAAAUAAGGAAUUUCACUUGACUUUGAUUUAUAACUUUGCUCAUACUUACAGACAACUGUGUUCUAUCCAUAUUGAAUUGGUAACUAUAUGGAUUUUUUGGUUUACUUUCAUGUGGUACAUUGAUUCCUUUAUUGUGUAAAUUAUAAAGCCUUGUAUAACUUGUAUUUAAUAGGUGUUUGAAGAUGCAUACAAGU
rnacentral:misc_RNA from 1 species